rnacentral:tRNA from 1 species
GCCUAGAUGGCUCAGUCGGUUGAGGGUCUGCCUCCAAAGCAGGUCAUGAUCCCAGGGUCCUGGGAUCGAGUCCCGGAUUGGGCU